rnacentral:rRNA from 1 species
AGUUCGAUCCUGGCUCAGAUUGAACGCUGGCGGGAUGCUUUACAUGCAAGUCGAACGGCACGGACUUCGGUCUGGUGGCGAGUGGCGAAAAUUGUGAGAAUACCGGAACGUGCCUAGUAGCGGGGAUAACUACGCGAAAGUAGCGACAUCGCAGCACACAGCCCUUCGUGGAAAAGCGGGGACCUUCGGGCCUUCGCACUAUUAGAGCGGCCGAUAUCGGAUUAGCUAGUUGGUGGGGUAACGGCUCACUGGCGACGAUCCGUAGCUGGUUUGAGAGGACGACCAGCCACACUGGGAGAUCGGAGACACGCCCAGACUCCUACGGGAGGCAGCAGUGGGGAAUUUUGGACAAUGGGGAAACUCCUGAUCCAGCCAUCCCGCGUGUGCGAUGAAGGCCUUCGCCAGGUAAAAGCAAUUUUCGGCAGAAGAACGGUACGGAUAAUACCCUGCAACUGACGGUACCUGAGAAUAAGCACCGGCUAACUACGCCAGCAGCCGCGCAUGUAGGGUGCAAGCGUUAAUCGGAAUUACUGUAUGCAGCGCAAAGUAGUUCGGAAAGAAAGAUGUGGAAAACCUUAGAGCUUAACUUUGGAACUGCAUUUUUAACUACCGAGCUAGAGUGUGUCAGAGGGAGGUGGGACUCCAGCAGUGAAUGCAGAUAUGCGGAGGUAACACCGAUGGCGAAGGCAGCUCCCGGGGAUAACACUGACGCUCAUGCACGAAAGCAGGUACAACAGGAUUAGAUACUCCUGGUAGUCCACGCCCUAAACGAUGUCAACUAGCUGUUGGGGCCUCUCGGGUCAUAGCGGUGAGCUAACGCAGGAAGUUGACCGCCUGGGGAGCAUAUUCGAUUAAAACUCAAAGGAAUUGACGGGGCUCGCAAGUGUGAUGAUGUGAUUAAUUUGAUGCAACGCGAAAACCUUACCUACCCUUGACAUGUCUGGAAUCCGAAGAGAUUUGGGAGUGCUCGCAAGAGAACCGAACACAGGUGCUGCAUGGCUGUCGUCAGCUCGUGUCGGAGAUGUUGGGUUAAGUCCUUACCUGAUCCUUGCCGCUAGUUGCUACGAAAGGGCACUCUAAUGAGACUGCCGGUGACAAACCGGAGGAAGGUGGGGAUGACGUCGUCCUCAUGGCCCUUAUGGGUAGGGCUUCACACGUCAUACAAUGGUCGGGACAGAGGGUCGCCAACCCGCGAGGGGGAGCUAAUCCCAGAAACCCGAUCGUAGUCCGGAUCGCAGUCUGCAACUCGACUGCGUGAAGUCGGAAUCGCUAGUAAUCGCGGAUCAGCAUGUCGCGGUGAAUACGUUCCCGGCUUGUACACACCGCCCGUCACACCAUGGGAGUGGUUUUACCAGAAGUAGUUAGCCUAACCGUAAGGAGGGCGAUUACCACGGUAGGAUUCAUGACUGUGAAAGCCGUAAUACAGCA